rnacentral:rRNA from 1 species
GACGAACGCUGGCGGCGUGCCUAAUACAUGCAAGUAGAACGCUGAAGACUUUAGCUUGCUAAAGUUGGAAGAGUUGCGGACGGGUGAGUAACGCGUAGGUAACCUGCCUACUAGCGGGGGAUAACUAUUGGAAACGAUAGCUAAUACCGCAUAACAGCUUUUAACUCAUGUUAGGAGAUUGAAAGGUGCAAUUGCAUCACUAGUAGAUGGACCUGCGUUGUAUUAGCUAGUUGGUGAGGUAACGGCUCACCAAGGCGACGAUACAUAGCCGACCUGAGAGGGUGAUCGGCCACACUGGGACUGAGACACGGCCCAGACUCCUACGGGAGGCAGCAGUAGGGAAUCUUCGGCAAUGGGGGCAACCCUGACCGAGCAACGCCGCGUGAGUGAAGAAGGUUUUCGGAUCGUAAAGCUCUGUUGUAAGAGAAGAACGUGUGUGAGAGUGGAAAGUUCACACAGUGACGGUAACCUACCAGAAAGGGACGGCUAACUACGUGCCAGCCGCCGCGGUAA